rnacentral:rRNA from 1 species
UGAGUAACACGUGAGUAACCUGCCGCUUAACUCCUGGGAUAAGCCUGGGAAUACGGGUCUAAUACCGGAUAUUUACUUCUCGCCGCAUGAUGGGUGGUGGAAAGCUUUAGCGGCUUUGGAUGGACUCGCGGCCUAUCAGCUUGUUGGUGAGGUAAUGGCUCACCAAGGCGACGACGGGUAGCCGGCCUGAGAGGGUGACCGACCACACUGGGACUGAGACACGGCCCAGACUCCUACGGGAGGCAGCAGUGGGGAAUAUUGCACAAUGGGUGAAAGCCUGAUGCAGCGACGCCGCGUGAGGGAUGACGGCCUUCGGGUUGUAAACCUCUUUCAGUAGGGAAGAAGCGAAAGUGACGGUACCUGCAGAAGAAGCGCCGGCUAACUACGUGCCAGCAGCCGCGGUAAUACGUAGGGCGCAAGCGUUAUCCGGAAUUAUUGGGCGUAAAGAGCUCGUAGGCGGUUUGUCGCGUCUGCCGUGAAAGUCCGGGGCUCAACUCCGGAUCUGCGGUGGGUACGGGCAGACUAGAGUGAUGUAGGGGAGACUGGAAUUCCUGGUGUAGCGGUGAAAUGCGCAGAUAUCAGGAGGAACACCGAUGGCGAAGGCAGGUCUCUGGGCAUUAACUGACGCUGAGGAGCGAAAGCAUGGGGAGCGAACAGGAUUAGAUACCCUGGUAGUCCAUGCCGUAAACGUUGGGCACUAGGUGUG